rnacentral:lncRNA from 1 species
UAUAACCCAGUGUAUCCAUCAGUGUUCUAGCCCAGUAACCCCUAAGAUAUAAAACCAGGAUGGGCUGCUUUUUGGGGUCCCUCAGCUGCAGUGUAAGUGGGGCAUGGGCAGACAGCACUCCCUCCACCCCAGGCAUCUUUCCUGAGCCUUGGGGACCUGCUCAUUCUGGAUCCUAGACAUCUGUUGUCCCUCGCUGCCUAUCGGCGGAAUCUGUUGGGAGGUGAUUGUAUUACCGGGAUUUUGUUGGAAGUGAAAAUCCAGACAGCUAAAAAAGCUACAUUUCCCAAUGGCAUUUCCAGCUUUGGCUGGCUCCAAGGCUGUUCUGCCUCUUCUUCAUGACUAAAAUGAAUAUUUGAUGCGACAGGAAAAGCAGUGAUUU